rnacentral:lncRNA from 1 species
GGAGGAGGAGACGGGUACUCGGGGAAGCGGAGCCGCCGCCAUCAGAAGCAAAAGCAGCGGAGAGCUAGUGACGCGACGGGGCGAAGAAGAGCGUCGUCGGGUGCUCGUGGGCGCAUCGUCGGGCCCACCAUAACUGGCCCAGUUACGGCCCAUCCAAUAUAGGCCCCUAAGGCCCGCUAUUUUACUUAGCGAAGUAAGGCCCCGUUCGGUAGGAGGGCAUAAGUUAACUUAAUGCUCUGGCACGAAAAACGUA